rnacentral:rRNA from 1 species
AUUGAACGCUGGCGGCAGGCCUAACACAUGCAAGUCGAACGAGUGGCGGACGGGUGAGUAAUGUCUGGGAAACUGCCCGAUGGAGGGGGAUAACUACUGGAAACGGUGGCUAAUACCGCAUACCAUCGGAUGUACCCAUAUGGGAUUAGCUAGUAGGUGGGGUAAAGGCUCACCUAGGCGACGAUCCCUAGCUGGUCUGAGAGGAUGAUCAGCCACACUGGGACUGAGACACGGCCCAGACUCCUACGGGAGGCAGCAGUGGGGAAUAUUGCACAAUGGGCGCAAGCCUGAUGCAGCCAUGCCGCGUGUAUGAAGAAGGCCUUCGGGUUGUAAAGUACUUUCAGCGGGGAGGCGUUACCCGAAGAAGAAGCACCGGCUAACUCCGUGCCAGCAGCCGCGGUAAUAC